rnacentral:rRNA from 1 species
ACACCAGCGCCACGAGUGGGGAUCAUUUUUAUUUGGCCUAAAGCGUUCGUAGCCGGCCUGUUAAAUUUUUUGUGAAAUUGUCGGGCUUAACUCGACAGCGUGCAAAAAAGACUGGUAGGCUAGGGACCGGGAGGGGUUAGAGGUAUGCAAAGGGGAGCAGUAAAAUGCUAUAAUCCUAUGUGGACCACCGGUGGCGAAAGCGUCUAACCAGCACGGUUCCGACGGUGAGGAACGAAAGCCAGGGGAGCGAUCCGGAUUAGAAACCCGAGUAGUCC